AUAAGAGAUUACCUGUCUUGUAGCCUUCUGGAAGCCGGAAGUGGACACGGAGACAGACCGACACAAAACAGGAAAAUACAGGCAAACCGCCGUAUUAGUAGGUAAUCAGGCUCCGGUUGUCCCACUUUCCAGAGGUCUGCUCCUGUCCCGUUUUCCGGCCGUCCGAACCGGUGAGAACCAGUGCCCCACGUUGGGCACCAAAUGAUGUGGAAUCAAUCAAUAAAUUGAUUAUCUUGCGUAUCUGCCCCGGCCAAAUUAAAGAAGUAAUGCGUGCACGCUCCUAAAGUAAUUCACACCAGACACAUGUUUCGGGUUAAUGAAAAACUUGAGGAAUGUUUAUUCUGAGGGGACGGCAUGUCCCUUAUAAAGCAAAAUUACAUCAUAUGCAUUGUCAGAGAUAACACGAAAUAAUACAUCAAUAAUUGGUUAGGUGUUAAGUGUUCAUUAAGUGCUCUUCCUACCGGGUGUGAUGUCACUGGUAUCUUGAAGGUCUCUCCCAGAUUCCAGCGCCAUCUUGUUAAUGAGGGUGUUAGUCGAUGUCAAAAAGGAAACUCCCUAGCAGCCAUUUUAGGUAAAUGACAUAGAAAGUUGAAUAAUGCUGAUUGCAGUUAUGCUGAGUAAAUAGGCAUUUUACUAACAUGAAUUGGGUUAAUAUUUUUGUCCAAACAACACUCCCACACUCGCACCCCUAAAAGUAUAGUGUACCACUUUGUCCAUUUGAAAUGUUGGUUGGCAUGGACUGUGUCUGCUGUAUAGUAUAACCGCACACUAAAGUGAGAAUUCAAAGUGAAUUUCAAAUUUAUAACCAAAAUUUGGUAAACUGGAAAAGUUAUCUUAAAUCAGCUAUGUUUCAAAUUCAGCCUUAAAUCUGAAAUUCACUUUGAAUUCUCACUUUGUAACUUUGUGAGUGUUUAAUACUACAGGGAGUGCAGAAUUAUUAGGCAAGUUGUAUUUUUGAGGAUUAAUUUUAUUAUUGAACAACAACCAUGUUCUCAAUGAACCCAAAAAACUCAUUAAUAUCAAAGCUGAAUAUUUUUGGAAGUAGUUUUUAGUUUGUUUUUAGUUAUAGCUAUGUUAGGGGGAUAUCUGUGUGUGCAGGUGACUAUUAC